UGACUNGAGUGCAGAAGGGGAGAGUGGAAUUCCAUGUGUAGCGGUGAAAUGCGUAGAUAUAUGGAGGAACACCAGUGGCGAAAGCGGCUCUCUGGUCUGUCACUGACGCUGAGGCUCGAAAGCGUGGGUAGCGAACAGGAUUAGAUACCCUGGUAGUNCACGCCGUAAACGAUGAGUGCUAGGUGUUAGGCCCUUUCCGGGGCUUAGUGCCGGAGCUAACGCAAUAAGCACUCCGCCUGGGGAGUACGACCGCAAGGUUGAAACUCAAAGGAAUUGACGGGGGCCCGCACAAGCGGUGGAGCAUGUGGUUUAAUUCGAAGCAACGCGAAGAACCUUACCAGGUCUUGACAUCCCGAUGCUAUUCUUAGAGAUAGGAAGUUACUUCGGUACAUCGGAGACAGGUGGUGCAUGGUUGUCGUCAGCUCGUGUCGUGAGAUGUUGGGUUAAGUCCCGCAACGAGCGCAACCCUUAUUGUUAGUUGCCAUCAUUAAGUUGGGCACUCUAGCGAGACUGCCGGUAAUAAACCGGAGGAAGGUGGGGAUGACGUCAAAUCAUCAUGCCCCUUAUGACCUGGGCUACACACGUGCUACAAUGGUCGGUACAACGAGUUGCGAGCCGGUGACGGCAAGCUAAUCUCUGAAAGCCGAUCUCAGUUCGGAUUGGAGGCUGCAACUCGCCUCCAUGAAGUCGGAAUCGCUAGUAAUCGCGGAUCAGCACGCCGCGGUGAAUACGUUCCCGGGCCUUGUACACACCGCCCGUCACACCACGAGAGUUUGUAACACCCGAAGUCGGUGAGGUAACCUUUUAGGGNCCAGCCGC
rnacentral:rRNA from 1 species